rnacentral:rRNA from 1 species
GACGAACGCUGGCGGCGUGCUUAACACAUGCAAGUCGAACGGAAAGGCCCUGCUUUUGUGGGGUGCUCGAGUGGCGAACGGGUGAGUAACACGUGAGUAACCGGCCCUUGACUUUGGGAUAACUUCAGGAAACUGGGGCUAAUACCGGAUAGGAGCUCCUGCUGCAGGGGGGGGGUGGGAAAGUUUCGGCGGUUGGGGAUGGACUCGCGGCUUAUCAGCUUGUUGGUGGGGUAGUGGCUUACCAAGGCUUUGACGGGUAGCCGGCCUGAGAGGGUGACCGGCCACAUUGGGACUGAGAUACGGCCCAGACUCCUACGGGAGGCAGCAGUGGGGAAUAUUGCACAAUGGGCGGAAGCCUGAUGCAGCAACGCCGCGUGCGGGAUGACGGCCUUCGGGUUGUAAACCGCUUUCGCCUGUGACGAAGCGUGAGUGACGGUAAUGGGUAAAGAAGCACCGGCUAACUACGUG